rnacentral:rRNA from 1 species
UACGAAGGGGGCUAGCGUUUUUCGGAAUUACUGGGCGUAAAGCGCACGCAGGCGGUGUCCACAGUCAGAAGUGAAAGCCCUGGGCUCAACCCGGGAAUUGCUUUUGAUACUAGGACGCUAGAAUCACGGAGAGGGUAGUGGAAUUCCGAGUGUAGAGGUGAAAUUCGUAGAUAUUCGGAAGAACACCAGUGGCGAAGGCGACUACCUGGCCGUCGAUUGACGCUAAUGUGCGAAAGCGUGGGGAGCAAACAGG